AAUCAGGUCCACCAACAUCAACAGUAAAUCUCCACUCUUGCUUUGUGAUCAUGUUUGUGUUUUAAUGUGAAUAUUUGAACAGAUGAAGUGUUUUGAUGCUGAUCUCGCUGCUUUGUGCUCAGUGUGAGCUGGAGGUUUUGAAUGUGUGUCCUGCCCCUGAGACUGGAGCUCAAUAUCAGUCUGACUGUGAAUCAGCAUCUCUGUCCUUCAGUUCUCUGAGCUUCAGUGAAGAUGAAGACGCUCGCUCUGAUCAUCUGCUCUCUGCUGCUGCUCCUCCACGAGUGUGGAGGACAGAUCAGCGUCACUCAGAGUCCCUCAAUGACAGCAGAACCAGACAAAACCAUCACAAUCACCUGCAGAACCAGCACAGAUGUGUACAGAUAUUAUGAUGGAGACCAAACUUUAGCCUGGUAUUUCCAGAAACCUGGAGAAGCUCCUAAACUCCUGAUUUAUUGGGUCAAUCAUCUUGAGUCAGGAAUUGCAUCUAGAUUCAGUGGCAGUGGAUCAAACAGUGAUUUCACUCUGAGCAUCAGUGGAGUCCAGACUGAAGAUGCUGGACAUUAUUACUGUCAGAGUUUCCACUGCAGAACAGAUUCGAACAAUAAGUGUGUGGGUGAUGUUGUGUUCACACAGUGAUAAAGAGUGGUACAAAAACCUCCGUCAGUCAGUCAGAGUCACAGAGACUGAACUGAUCCUGGAGCAGCUCAAACACUGAACACACACGAUGGCCUUGACACAACACAAUAUGAUUUUAAUAUAAAGUUUGUUUGAGCUUU